AUUGAACGCUGGCGGCAGGCCUAACACAUGCAAGUCGAACGGUAACAGGAAGAAGCUUGCUUCUUUGCUUACGAGUGGCGGACGGGUGUGUCAUGUCUGGGACCCUGCCUGAUGGCGGGGGUUAACUCCUGGAACCGGUAGCUAAUACCGCAUAACGUCGCAACACCAAAGUUGGGGACCUUCGGGCCUCUUUCCUUCCGAUGUUCCCAGAUGGGAUUAGCUAGUAGGUGGGGUAACGGCUCACCUAGGCGACGAUCCCUAGCUGGUCUGAGAGGAUGACCAGCCACACUGGAACUGAGACACGGUCCAGACUCCUACGGGAGGCAGCAGUGGGGAAUAUUGCACAAUGGGCGCAAGCCUGAUGCAGCAAUGCCGCGUGUAUGAAGAAGGCCUUCGGGUUGUAAAGUACUGUCAGCGGGGAGGAAGGGAGGAAAGAGAAAACCUGUACGCAUUGACGUUACCCGAAGAAGAAGCACCGGCUAACUCCGUG
rnacentral:rRNA from 1 species